AUUAUAAUGCCUGCGUCCCAAUGUGCAUACUAUCCAUCCUAAAUUCUAUGUGAUAUUAGUAAUUUUCAAUACUAUUUAGGGCAGAUAGGGUGGAUAGUAUGCACAUUGGGACGCAGGGAAUGAAUCAUUCUUUGGAAAUCUCUUCAGUGAAUCGAUCAAACGGCUCGGCAACCGGUUUGAAUCGUUUUCGCGAUUCAGCGUGAUUCAACUCGGACGGUUCACUCAAUCUUUUUGAAGCGGUUUGUCAGUCGGCAAACGUGAUAGGGAACUUCAAGAAGGAUAAAAACGCAUAUUGAACUUCUAUACAGUCUGCUUGAAAGCAAACCUGCAAGUUCUUGUUGUUUUUCCAGCGAUGAAGAUUCAUUAUGACCAACACGCGCACGUGCGUCCCGAGAACCCCUCUACUGCAGGAAGUGCGUUUUCCUACAGGAGAGAAGUGUGUGUGAUGGACAGGUGAUUAUUUGGGGAGCAGCUUGUGGCAGUCUCUCGAUGGCGAAUGCCAAAUAUUUACGUCUGUGGUGGACAGUCUCCUCUCCAACCGUCCCCUUUGCAGCUCAGGGUCAAAUGGGCUGUGAAUGUUUCCCACAAUCCUCCCA
rnacentral:lncRNA from 1 species